GAUGAACGCUGGCGGCGUGCCUAAUACAUGCAAGUCGAGCGAACGGACGAGAAGCUUGCUUCUCUGAUGUUAGCGGCGGACGGGUGAGUAACACGUGGAUAACCUACCUAUAAGACUGGGAUAACUUCGGGAAACCGGAGCUAAUACCGGAUGAUAUUUUGAACCGCAUGGUUCAAAAGUGAAAGACGGUCUUGCUGUCACUUAUAGAUGGAUCCGCGCUGCAUUAGCUAGUUGGUAAGGUAACGGCUUACCAAGGCAACGAUGCAUAGCCGACCUGAGAGGGGUAUUCGCCCACCUGGAACCGAAGCACGGGUCCGACCCCCUCGGGGGGGAGGAGGUGGGAAUUUUCCGGAAUUGGCGGAAGCCUUACGGGGCAACGCCGGGGUGGGGAUUAAGGUUUUCGGAUCGUAAAACUCUGUUAUUAGGGAAGAACAUAUGUGUAAGUAACUGUGCACAUCUUGACGGUACCUAAUCAGAAAGCCACGGCUAACUACGUG
rnacentral:rRNA from 1 species